rnacentral:rRNA from 1 species
GAUUUCUGGCUUGAAACAUUUAGCCGGCCACGGUUUCGUGUGUUAGUGCUUGAUGUUCUGGCCAUCCUUCCAAUUGCUAUUCAUCUUUCUUCAUUGAUGGGUGAGUGGUAUUGGAUCUUUUACUUUGAAAAAAUUAGAGUGUUUAAAGCAGGCUUUUGCUAUGAAUACAUUAGCAUGGAAUAAUAAUUUAGGACUUCGGUUCUAUUUUGUUGGUUUCUAGGACUGAAGUAAUGAUUGAUAGGGAUAGUUGGGGGUGCUGAUAUUCACUGGCCAGAGGUGAAAUUCUUGGAUUCAGUGAAGAUCAACUUAUGCGAAAGCAUU